rnacentral:piRNA from 1 species
UAACCAGUAUUUCCAGGGAGGAAGCUUUA